AUCUAUUUCAGAACCUCAAGAAUUAGAAGAAGAAAGAAGACUUUGUUAUGUUGGAAUUACAAGAGCAAAAGAAAAUUUAUAUUUAACUUGCAGUAAAC
rnacentral:sRNA from 1 species